GGUUAAGCGACUAAGCGUACACGGUGGAUGCCCUGGCAGUCAGAGGCGAUGAAGGACGUGCUAAUCUGCGAUAAGCGUCGGUGAGGUGAUAUGAACCGUUAUAACCGGCGAUUUCCGAAUGGGGAAACCCAGUGUGUUUCGACACACUAUCAUUAACUGAAUCCAUAGGUUAAUGAGGCGAACCGGGGGAACUGAAACAUCUAAGUACCCCGAGGAAAAGAAAUCAACCGAGAUUCCCCCAGUAGCGGCGAGCGAACGGGGAGCAGCCCAGAGCCUGAAUCAGUGUGUGUGUUAGUGGAAGCGUCUGGAAAGGCGUGCGAUACAGGGUGACAGCCCCGUACACAAAAAUGCACAUACUGUGAGCUCGAUGAGUAGGGCGGGACACGUGGUAUCCUGUCUGAAUAUGGGGGGACCAUCCUCCAAGGCUAAAUACUCCUGACUGACCGAUAGUGAACCAGUACCGUGAGGGAAAGGCGAAAAGAACCCCGGCGAGGGGAGUGAAAAAGAACCUGAAACCGUGUACGUACAAGCAGUGGGAGCCUCUUAAUGGGGUGACUGCGUACCUUUUGUAUAAUGGGUCAGCGACUUAUAUUCUGUAGCAAGGUUAACCGAAUAGGGGAGCCGAAGGGAAACCGAGUCUUAACUGGGCGUUAAGUUGCAGGGUAUAGACCCGAAACCCGGUGAUCUAGCCAUGGGCAGGUUGAAGGUUGGGUAACACUAACUGGAGGACCGAACCGACUAAUGUUGAAAAAUUAGCGGAUGACUUGUGGCUGGGGGUGAAAGGCCAAUCAAACCGGGAGAUAGCUGGUUCUCCCCGAAAGCUAUUUAGGUAGCGCUUCGUGAAUUCAUCUCCGGGGGUAGAGCACUGUUUCGGCAAGGGGGUCAUCCCGACUUACCAACCCGAUGCAAACUGCGAAUACCGGAGAAUGUUAUCACGGGAGACACACGGCGGGUGCUAACGUCCGUCGUGAAGAGGGAAACAACCCAGACCGCCAGCUAAGGUCCCAAAGUCAUGGUUAAGUGGGAAACGAUGUGGGAAGGCCCAGACAGCCAGGAUGUUGGCUUAGAAGCAGCCAUCAUUUAAAGAAAGCGUAAUAGCUCACUGGUCGAGUCGGCCUGCGCGGAAGAUGUAACGGGGCUAAACCAUGCACCGAAGCUGCGGCAGCGACGCUUAUGCGUUGUUGGGUAGGGGAGCGUUCUGUAAGCCUGCGAAGGUGUACUGUGAGGUAUGUUGGAGGUAUCAGAAGUGCGAAUGCUGACAUAAGUAACGAUAAAGCGGGUGAAAAGCCCGCUCGCCGGAAGACCAAGGGUUCCUGUCCAACGUUAAUCGGGGCAGGGUGAGUCGACCCCUAAGGCGAGGCCGAAAGGCGUAGUCGAUGGGAAACAGGUUAAUAUUCCUGUACUUGGUGUUACUGCGAAGGGGGGACGGAGAAGGCUAUGUUGGCCGGGCGACGGUUGUCCCGGUUUAAGCGUGUAGGCUGAUUUUCCAGGCAAAUCCGGAAAAUCAAGGCUGAGGCGUGAUGACGAGGCACUACGGUGCUGAAGCAACAAAUGCCCUGCUUCCAGGAAAAGCCUCUAAGCAUCAGGUAACAUCAAAUCGUACCCCAAACCGACACAGGUGGUCAGGUAGAGAAUACCAAGGCGCUUGAGAGAACUCGGGUGAAGGAACUAGGCAAAAUGGUGCCGUAACUUCGGGAGAAGGCACGCUGAUAUGUAGGUGAAGUCCCUCGCGGAUGGAGCUGAAAUCAGUCGAAGAUACCAGCUGGCUGCAACUGUUUAUUAAAAACACAGCACUGUGCAAACACGAAAGUGGACGUAUACGGUGUGACGCCUGCCCGGUGCCGGAAGGUUAAUUGAUGGGGUUAGCGGUAACGCGAAGCUCUUGAUCGAAGCCCCGGUAAACGGCGGCCGUAACUAUAACGGUCCUAAGGUAGCGAAAUUCCUUGUCGGGUAAGUUCCGACCUGCACGAAUGGCGUAAUGAUGGCCAGGCUGUCUCCACCCGAGACUCAGUGAAAUUGAACUCGCUGUGAAGAUGCAGUGUACCCGCGGCAAGACGGAAAGACCCCGUGAACCUUUACUAUAGCUUGACACUGAACAUUGAGCCUUGAUGUGUAGGAUAGGUGGGAGGCUUUGAAGUGUGGACGCCAGUCUGCAUGGAGCCGGCCUUGAAAUACCACCCUUUAAUGUUUGAUGUUCUAACGUUGGCCCCUGAUCGGGGUUGCGGACAGUGUCUGGUGGGUAGUUUGACUGGGGCGGUCUCCUCCUAAAGAGUAACGGAGGAGCACGAAGGUUGGCUAAUCCUGGUCGGACAUCAGGAGGUUAGUGCAAUGGCAUAAGCCAGCUUGACUGCGAGCGUGACGGCGCGAGCAGGUGCGAAAGCAGGUCAUAGUGAUCCGGUGGUUCUGAAUGGAAGGGCCAUCGCUCAACGGAUAAAAGGUACUCCGGGGAUAACAGGCUGAUACCGCCCAAGAGUUCAUAUCGACGGCGGUGUUUGGCACCUCGAUGUCGGCUCAUCACAUCCUGGGGCUGAAGUAGGUCCCAAGGGUAUGGCUGUUCGCCAUUUAAAGUGGUACGCGAGCUGGGUUUAGAACGUCGUGAGACAGUUCGGUCCCUAUCUGCCGUGGGCGCUGGAGAACUGAGGGGGGGCUGCUCCUAGUACGAGAGGACCGGAGUGGACGCAUCACUGGUGUUCGGGUUGUCAUGCCAAUGGCACUGCCCGGUAGCUAAAUGCGGAAGAGAUAAGUGCUGAAAGCAUCUAAGCACGAAACUUGCCCCGAGAUGAGUUCUCCCUGACUCCUUGAGAGUCCUGAAGGAACGUUGAAGACGACGACGUUGAUAGGCCGGGUGUGUAAGCGCAGCGAUGCGUUGAGCUAACCGGUACUAAUGAACCGUGAGGCUUAACCUU
rnacentral:rRNA from 1 species